UACGUAGGCAGCAAGCGUUGUUCGGAAUUACUGGGCGUAAAGAGUGUGUAGGCGGUGUUCUAAGUUUGUCGUGAAAUCUCCCGGCUUAACUGGGAGGGUGCGGCGAAAACUGGAAUGCUAGAGGAUGGGAGAGGUAAGCGGAAUUCCUGGUGUAGCGGUGAAAUGCGUAGAUAUCAGGAGGAACACCUGUGGUGUAGACAGCUUACUAGACCAUUUCUGACGCUGAGACACGAAAGCGUGGGUAGCAAACAGG
rnacentral:rRNA from 1 species